rnacentral:rRNA from 1 species
AUGGCCAUACCACAUUGAAAACACCGGUUCUCGUCCGAUCACCGAAGUUAAACAAUGUCGGGCCUGGUCAGUACUUGGGAGGGUGACCGCCUGGGAACACUGGGUGCCGUAGGCC